rnacentral:tRNA from 1 species
AAUAUUAUAAGUUAUAUAUAAACUAUAAAUUUUCAAAAUUUAAAAAACUUUUAAAGUUAAUAUUU